CGAUUUUCCGAAUUAAUGCAUUACUGAUAUAUAUACAGAGAAAUACAUCCUUCCUUACCUAACGUUGUGACUAUAUGUAAGUAACGAACCCAAUUUGGAAGCGUGGUUUUGCCUGUCUGUUUCCAACCAUCGACAUUCGACAUGAGUAGAGAUUUUUAAAAUAAGGACAACCGUUGAUUUGACCGAGACCAUGGUCAGAUUCAGACGUGGCCUGGGACAAAUAUAGUUACCAUCUUCACAUACAUGCAUAAGGAAGAAGCCGAUUACAUAAUUUAUGAUUUCUAAAAUGGCGAAUUCCGUCCCCGUAUCUUGACAUCACGACGCAAUAUUUCGACACCGUGGGGUCGACGACGACACAACCGGAAGACGUUAGAAGUUUAUAAUAAUGUCAAAUUACAAAAUAAUUAUUUAUUGGUCUUCACAACUAGAUAUUUCCUAGUGAAUAAGUUGUGUAAUUUUUUCCCAGCUAUAAAUACGUAGAGAAAGUUGUUAUAUAUUUUAGCACUAAAUUUGAUCUGAUGCCUCUGUGCAAUUGUAUUAGCACACGUGACACCUGACAACUUAGUUAUGCUUUGUAAACAGAAAAUGAUUGUAAUUUGAUCGUAAAUUUAAAAUGAUUCAGAUAGGUUUGUAGCGAGGCUGAUUCGGUAAAAUUACUUGAUAGCCCGAGAACCACAUGGACACCCCGUGUAAUUUAUAAGCUAAUGAAACGCUCAACUACAGAAAACUGCUUAAACUCACGAAACUUUUCUCAUUGUAUUAGAAAAAGUUGCACAAUUGUUGGGUUAAUUAUUUUGUCAAAUUCGAUAAACUUUGUGCAAUGGAUACGGUAUUAGUCCAUACACUCGUACAGAUUUAAGCGUGAAAUUAAUCACCUUAUACAUACAUUCAUAUGUUUAGGCUCUCAAUUGAAUCUUGGAAACUAACGGAUAAAAGUCGAGGAAACGAUGCAGCAUUGUUUUAAAUAUGUCCUAUACGUAACUGGAACCGGUGUUGACCUGAAAUCUAUAAUGCAGAAUGCAAUGGCAUUAUUGACCUCAGACGGUACAGAUGUAUUUGUUUCUACACUUUUUCAUGCUAAACAAAGGUUUUUACUUGUAAGAUGAGAAAGAAGUAAUUUUAUAUAAAUUUAGGGUUUACUUGAUGUUAUGAAGGUGAAGUAAAGAUGUCAUUCAAAAAUUAUAGCGGUACAUAAAUUUAAUAAGUAUUGACUGACGCCGUAAAUAUACCUGUAUCGUAUUUUACAUUACGUGAACGAUUAUUUAUGGUACUCGGUACGUUAUCUGGUAAGAUCGUUGUUAAGUACUAAUAAAUAUAUCCUCAGGUUUUAUAAUAAAAAGUAUUCGAAAUUAAAUUAUAUAAGUUUAAA